UCAGGGAAGAAACAACUCGCUCCACCAUCAACACCCAAAGCUGAAAUUCUAACUUAAACUAUUCCCUG
rnacentral:tRNA from 2 species